CUAUUUCAGAAUCACCAGUUGC
rnacentral:siRNA from 1 species